GGAUUACCAGAAAUUCUCAAAAUUUCAAAGAUAUAAAAACUAAGCAAGUCUUGUGGAAACAAACCUAUAGAAUAGGAUUUUUUUUUUUUUUUUGAAAAUUAAUAAUCAAUAAGAAAAAGUCACGUAAUAUUGUUAGAAAGCUGAAAAAAUGGUUUUUAGAUUUUAUGAAGGAAUUGGGCAAAUCUCACAAAAUCUGGUUUCCCUAAAUUUAAGGAAAUCUACUUUUAUAAGAAUCGUGAAUGGCAAUUUUUCU
rnacentral:lncRNA from 1 species